UCAUCCUUCAUCUGCACUACACUAAAAGCACCACGCACAGGAAACUGAAGGUUGCCCAGCUUGGUCUUCCCUCCCCGUCAUGUGCCUGGUACAUAAGCAGGUGCCCAAUGCGUGCUUAUCGAACAGAAUUCCAGAGAAGGCAUUUCUCUACUUAUGGAUUCCACACUCGUCCCAGGAGAGAAAGAAUGAAUUCGAGGCUGUGCUCUGUGAGGUGUAGAAAUGAAAACAAAAGCCGUCUCAAGGUUGGUCGUUUCAGAGUGCGGGUGAAGCCCGAGGUGAGGCCUCUCUGAGGUGGAGAAUCGUUCGCAGGGCACGUUUGCCGUCAAGGUUUUCUGCAGCAUCACCACAACCACCCAAAGCCAUUCAGUUUUAAUGCCACACCCCCCCCCACCCCAGAACAAAAGAAGAAAAAACUCAGAACAAGGAAAAAAAAGCAAGAGGAUAGGAGAUGCCGGAUAGUAUCCCAAUAGAAACCUCUCCAUAUAAAAACUGAGGCAUGAGAACCAAUUGUCCCCUCCAACAUAUGAUGCAUGUUGCAACAGAUGCACUGUACUACUGAUAAAGUGGUAUGGAAUCCCAUCUUUUAGCAGUGAUUUAUUGGAUUCCUGCUAUGUGCCAGAUACCAUGCCAAAAGCUUUGCAAGUACGUUGGCUCAGUGAAUCCUCAAAAUAUUCCUAGGAAAGACACCAGUUUGGUGUUUCCCUCAAGAUAUUAAUCAGCAAUUUAGCAGACAACUCUGCGGUUUCAUUCAUGAGUGUAUGCUGAAAAGAACUAGAAGCAGGUGUCUCAACAAACACACAUGCCCAUAUUCACAGCAAUGCUAUUCAUAGUAGCCAAAGGUAGACAGCUAAACAAAACGUGAUUGAUUGCAACAGAAUACUACUCAGCCAUAAAAACAAAUGAUGUGUAUUCAUGGUUGUUUUCUGUGACUAUGACAAAAAUACCAUAACCAAACCAAAGAGUUUAUUUUGGCUCAUAGGCACUGAGAGGCAGUGUAUAAUGGUGAGACAGGCAUGGCAGCAGGCAGGCAUGGUAGCCAGAGCAUGGAGUUGGCUGAUGACAUCUUCAACCACAAACAUAAGGCAGUGUUGUGCCCGUGUCUCGAGACGGCUGAACAAGACCACCACAGAGCCCAUAUCUGAUGCAAAACUCACAGGGAUUUAUUGAUAACAAGCAAGCCUGGGCUUGGUCCAUGUCCAACACUCGGCACAGCAGGUGGAGGAGGAUGGCCCUGAGCUCUCAGGGUGAGGGAUUUUUAAAGCAAAAAACCACAAGCAGGGUGGUACAAGCCUUUGUGUCAUAUGAUUGGGUGAGGGUGUGUAACCUUUGAAUUCACUAGUUGGGGGUUCAGUUAUCAUUUUGGGGCAGGCCUGGACAAGUCCCAGGCUUUGUCCUUGAGCUGCCACGGCAGCUGGCUGGCCUCGCACAUUCACAUUGACUCAUGCACAUAGCUCUAAGUUGGGGAGGGGUCCCGGACAGUAAACAACUGGCUGAACCUUGAGCAGUCAGAGUACGUGCAGAAAGAGAGCUACUGCAAGGACUAUGUCUUUUGUUCAAGGCCUUCUCAGAAACUUCUUGGUCAAGUCUCAGGAAACUGAAAUUGAGGCCUGAUCUCUGAGAGAAGACUGACAGCCUGUUAAUGUCGUCUGCUUGGUCCUUUCAGCGAGAGCAUGUGAACUGGAAGUGAGGCAAAGCUUUGUACUUUCAAAUCCACCUGCAUGGAUGUACUUCCUCCAGCAAGGCUCUACUACCUACAGGGUCCACAGCCUCCCCAAACAGCAUCACCAGUUAGGAGCAAGUGUUCAAAUGCCUGAGUCUAUGGGGACACUUCUUAUUCAAACUGCCACAGAGGCAGAUGGCAUUCUCCAAAGUCUAUAGACAAGAAGCCUGAGACUCUGGAGGAAGAGACCAUGAACACCACAGUCAGACAAAAAUGAGUCUAAGUUUUAUGGGGUCUAGAGUGUCUACAACAUGGGACCCUUUCUUAAGAAAAAUAAUAUAAAAUAAUGAUGAGAAAACCACUAGGUUACCUCAGAAGGUUUCGCAAAGGGCUUUUGAAAGUAGAAACUCUGAAAUGUGAAUCUUAUUUAGGUAGAAGAAAAAAUGGAGAAAAAAAUUUAAGCCUAUCACAGCAUUUUUUCAUAAUAUAAUUAUUAGGAGUAAAUCUAAUAAAAGAGUAGCAAAAUCUCUAUGCUAAACCAUUGUCAAGGGAAACUUAAAAGACCCAAAUAAGUGGAUAAAUUCAUCAUAUGUAUGGAUUACAUGUUUCAAUAUUGUAAAGCUGUCAGUUCUUUCUAUACUGAUCAGAGUAACUCUAAUUAAAACCACCACCAGCCCAGGUCUUUUGUAGAAAUUCAUAAACAGACUUAUAUUUAUAUGCAGAAAUUAUAGACCUCUAUAGACAUUCUGAAAAAAGCAAAGUGGGAGGAGUUAAACUCCCUGGCUUCAAGACUUCCUGUAACAGUACCCUGUAGGGCAGAAGACAUCAGGAGAAACAAACCGUGGAAAUGCUAUAACAGAGCCACCACUUAUGCCUACCAUCAAAAGAUUUCCAACAAAGGCACUCUAGUAACUCACGGUGUGUUGACAAGUAACUUGGAACGUUGGGAGACUUCUAUGGAAAAGUAGGCAAAGCUGCAAAUCGAACUCAGACCUCUCUGUUUUGUUCUACUUCUUGCUUGUUCUGUGAUCUCCCCACCCACCCUCUCUGGCCACAGCCAACAGAAAGGAUCACUAACACCUUCCCCACCUUAUCCCACUUGCCUUUUGUUGGGGUCUACAGUCUACAAGCACCUUCUGAAAACCACAAAGUGUCACAAAAUAAGACCUGUCAUAGCUGUGUGUACUUUUUGCAAGUUCAAGGUAAUAGUAUUACUUUCUCUUUCAAAUUUAAAAUUCACAUAGCAUGUACAAUCUGUAAUUACUUUUCUUGUUCCUUUUGUGUUUACAAGAGAAUCUAGCGUUCUGGUGAUGAUUCAGAAUUCUUUCUUUAAAGUCAUUCUUGCAUCAAAGAUAACUAUUAUUUAACAUUUUAUUUAUUCAUUUCUUUAAUUCUAUAUGUUUUAAUUUUUCACUCAUUCAUUUAUCUGUUCAUCCAUCCAUCUAUUCAUUCAUUCAUUCAUUCAGGACAAGUUCUUACUGACUGCCUACUAUGAGCAAGACAGUACAAGUGCAAGAGAUAAAUGAAUGAAUGGAGACUUGGUUCCCCUUCGCAAAAAUCUCAGUUGCUGUGACAGUACACUCUUAAAGACCCAGACCCAGUUAUGAUGUGAUGUAAUUACUGCUAAGGACUUGUACAUGAGGAGGACCACCCAUGAUGGCAGGACAGGCUUCACAGAGGAGGUGAUGUUCAAAAUUGAGACCUCAAAAAGAAAAAGGACUUUUGCCAAGACAACUUGAUAAGGUGGAAAGUACAAAACACGGCCAGUGUGGAGGAUGGUGUGAUGGGGUAGGGACAGGUUAGGAGGAGGAGAGUAAGGGUAGUGGGAGGGUAGAUAGGGAGGAGAGUUCAGUAGUCACUGCAGUGGCUGAGACAAAAUGAUGAAGGCCUGACCUAGGCUCAUGGAGAUAAGGCAGCCUUGAAGAGAGCGAUUUGAAGAUUAAGAGGCAGAACCAAGAUAACUCAGCAAUUAGUUAAUUGAACACAAUGGCCAAGAGCAAAAAAACGUGCUCAGUUCCACCUCUAACUUGUGGUGUGGCCUUGGGCACAGUGCCUGACCUUGUGAAUUCCCAGUUUUCUCAUUUAGAAAAUGGGAAGUAAUAAUAACUAAUUCAUAUAGUUGCCGAGAGCUUUAAAAGUCCUCAUUGUGAAAGCACCCGUCACAGGACCAUGUACAAAUAGAUUUGACACAGAUAUUAAUUUACCGCCCCUCCCAGGCCCACAUUUCCUCCUCAGCUCACACUACAGAAUGGCUCUUCCAAAUUAUGGAGACUUUACCCUCUGUGAUUGGGUUUGUGUAUCUUCAGGACAGUACACUCCCUUAAAUACAUCUCUGGAGUUUUCGUGAGAAUAUCUAGGCUAGCUGGAGCAUGUUUGGUAUCACAUGGCAAUUUCUGUGUUCUUUAACUAUCUGAGACAGCAACCUGAGCUCCUACCAGGAUCUGGAAGUUUGUGAGGUCUGACAGUGGAGACCCAGCUCUGCUGUCCCACCGUCCAGCAGAUACUGUCCUCACUCCAUCCCUCUGUGACACACGCAGUGGGAGGUGGGACCCUUUGCUCUCCUAGGUGCCUGCAUGGCUCUAUCUCCUACUCCAGAAGAGGGCAGAUGAAGGAUUCCAGAAUUUCCCUUCAGCACCUUCAGAAGACACUGAUUAUGCAGGCUGCUGAGAUUGAAAGACCCUAACCCUUCAGGCUUACACCCCCCAAGCCCCAGGAGAAUAAGGAACUAAAAAGAAAACUAGUUCCAAGGGCAACCUGACUCAAUCAUUACUCAAUCACCGCUGCAACAAUGUAACAAUGUAAAAAGAUCUCUGUUAAGAGAUGCACUCAACUGUGACUGGGAUAGUUGCAAGUGUUCCAGGAAGGACCACUGUGACCUUUGUGUAAACUUCACUCCCACCCUGAUACCCCCCUUGAGGUUUCGGGAAGAAUAUGCACGCGGAUGUGACUGUACCCACUCUGUGAUCACUCUGUGAUCAGACCAUGAUCAUCAAUCAAAACAAAAUUGUAUGGGAAUUGUAAUCUUAUGGCUUUUGUGGGUUUUUCCUUUAAAAGCCCCCAUGUGGCUACAGUAAGAUGCGACUCUUGCUCUCUGGAGCUGAGUUAGCCCGAUUGUA